AACCUCUCAAAUAAAAAGCCAAUUAUUAACAAAAGAAACAGAAGACCCAGUGAUGGACGUAACAGAAACCGAGACCAUAAAAGACGUACGAAGAAUAAGGUCUUUGAAGCACGGAAAGAAAGCAAAGGCUAAACAAAGGGAAGCAGGACGUGGAUAAUGAGCAGGAGGAACAGGUGAGGGUAUGGGCAGGUGAGGGUAUGGGCAGGUGAGGGUAUGGGCCUAAUGCAGUGAACCUUAUACCUGCUUGAACUUUAUCACGAUAUCAUAUUGUGUCAAAUAUGAAGGAAAUCAUCUAACAAGGGAUAGGCAGAUAGAAAGAUAGAAAGUUGGAUGAUAGGUUGAUAAUUGAAUGAAUGGAUGGAUGGAUGGAUGGAUGGAUGGAUGGAUGGAUUCUUCAUUAAACAUCAUUUAAAUUUUACAUAAAGUUCGUCUGUAAAAAUUUCCACUUGUUCGUCUUGUAUUAACUCUUCCAGGAGUAACACAACACACGGGAGUACAGCCAUCACCGUGAAGGCCAAUAUCGAAGGUUGUUCUUUAAGAUAUUUCAAUGGAAGGUGAAUACAACUUAAACAUCACGUUAACAUUAAAAUUAUCACCUUAACCAAAUGUUUAAUAAUUAGUCAACGUCUUGAAAACAUAACAACUGGAAAUUCUUUUAAAACAUCACAAUAGUCAACAUUAUAGACGCUGUGCAGUUGUAAAUAUCAGAAGUGUGAUAUGUCUUUGUGAUAUGUCUUACAAUGAGAUCCAUCCACCAGAUCAUUACAGUAAUUGACUCCAUUAACACCUUUAUAUGGAUACUAACACCACUCAGUCGUAGUUUUUGGUGCUUUAACAUCGACGAAUGCUUGGACAACACCAUACAACAGUGAUGAUGCUUCAUUCAACACCAAUGACAAGAAGGCAUCACCUCUCAACAUCGAUCAACAACAUCGAUGAGAACUGAAACAAACAUAAUAUUCUAUUUUUUAACUUCACAGACUGGACAUAGACGCUUCUGUACAUUGACAAGGGAGGACAGUAGAAGUCAACAUAUCUAGUCCACGGAAUAAUUGACAGUAAAAUAUCACCAAAAUAUUUGUAACUAAACAUGAACCAUAAACAGAAUUUCCCUGUACUGAAUAAAAUAUUGGAUUUUUUGGAACACGA